UAAGAUUUGAUUGAAAUUUUGUUUAAAAUUUAAAAUUUUAAAAGAUUUAAUAUUUUGAUAAUUUUUUAUGAUUAAUAUAUAAAUUAGGAUUUUAUUUGUAAUAUUUUUAUAUAGAAAAUUUAAAAAAUAUUUUUAUAAAUUUAAUAUAUAUAUAUAUUAUAAUAUUUGAUUGAAUCUAUAAUCUAUUGUAUUAUACUCAAAACUAUAUUAAUAUUAUGUUAUUAAAUUUUGAAUUUUUAAAUGUUAG
rnacentral:tRNA from 1 species